rnacentral:lncRNA from 1 species
UGUUGAAUUAAACUCAACCUCUAGAUGGUCAAGGAAGGCAACCACCAGCUGCCACCGACCAGCCACCAACCGACCAGCCGCCAGCCACCAGCCGCAGCCGCCAGCCGCCCCCACAGCUGCCACAGCCGCCAGCCGCCUUCACACUUGAAGGUUGAAUUUUCUUGUUUUGAUUUCGUGUAUAAAUAGAGUGCCCAGCUUAUGUUAUAUGUGUGGAGAGAAUAGAGAGAAACACUUGAAAGAGAAAGAGAGAGAGAGAGGGCGUGUAUUAAGCUUUUAUUUUGUGUUAUUUGUAAGCUUCGGAUUUUGUAAUAAAACCAGUGUGUUUUAUCCCCUCUAAGUGUUUCAAAGCCACCACCAGUGGUUCCUCCCACCAACAAUUGGUAUCAGAGCCCCGUUCGUCGGAAAACAUAAGUGUUUUGGGGUAUAUCCGAAUUUUCAAAAUUGUCAAAAACAAGUUUUGAUCAUUCCACAGUGUAGAGCUCAUCAAGACGAACUCACUGCCGCAAAAAUCAGCCAAAUCGGAGUUCGGGGUAGCCCACACGCGCCGCCUGAAUAUUCAGCCAGAUCGCCCACGCGCAUGCCACGCGCCCCGAGGUUGAAGACGACUGAGCCACACGCGCGCCAUAUUCGAGCCGUGUAAGCCGCCUAUAGCCGAGUCCAGCCGAGCCACAUGCCGAGCCGUACCCCCGCGCCGAGCCGAGCCGCGUUCCUGCCUCGCCGAGCCGAAGGAAUAUUCCCAGAAUAUUCCCCAGAAUAUUCCCAGAAUAUUCCCCAGAAUAUUCCCAGAAUAUUCCCCAGAAUAUUCCCAGAAUAUUCCCCGAAUAUUCCCCGAAUAUUCCACAGAAUAUUCCCGGUUCAACCCAGCGAACCGCCCGCCGUACAGUAUUGGUUUUUUUGACCGGUUCACCCAUUUGUUGACCCGAUUUCAACAAAGUCAGACCGGUUCCCUACUAUUUGGACCAUUCCGGAUCGAUCUACAGUGUCCGUUUGGCCAAAUUUGGCUCCCAGAAGGUGAUAUAGUCAUUAAAAGAGCAAAAUGACUACAGAAGGUACACAUACACUCAUCCCGAAGCUGACCAAAGACAACUAUGAUAGUUGGUGCAUCAGAUUGAAGGCAUUUCUUGGGUCACAAGAGUGUUUUGAUAUUGUACAAACUGGUUAUGAUGAACCAGAGUCCAAAGAAAGAGAAGAUGCUUUACAAGAGGCACAGAAGCAAGCCCUUAAAGUCAACAGAAAGAAGGACAACAAAGCAAAGACCAUCAUCUAUCAAGGUCUUGAUGAAGAUACAUUCGAGAUAAUAGCUUCCGCUGAAACGUCACAUGAUAUAUGGGAGGCUCUCCAACAGAAAUACAAAGGUGCUGACAGAAUCAAGAAGAUUCGUCUUCAAUCUUUGAGAGGAGAAUUCGAAUUAUUACGAAUGAAGUCCUCAGAAUCUAUUUCUGAUUAUCAUACAAGGAUUAUGGUGAUAGUCAAUCAGAUGAGAGAAAUGGAGAAGCCCUCAUGAUACUCGAAUUAUUGAGAAAAUUUUGAGAUCCAUAGAUCCAAAAUUUGAUCAUGUUGUUGUCGCAAUUGAAGAGUCCAAGGAAGUGGACAAGUUGACAGUGGAUGAGCUUAUGAGUUCUUUGCAAGCUCAUGAGCAGAAGAUUGUAAUGCGAAAUGAAGAUAAGGCCAUUGAGCAUGCCUUACAAGCAAAGCUGUCUUUCAAGGACAGAUAUGAGCAAGGGGAGACUUCAUCAAGUGGCUACACCACUCAAGGAGGAAGUCAACAAUCCAGAGGAGGAUUCCAGCAAUUCCAAGGAAGAGGUUCUUGGAAUACAAGCUUUAGAGGAAGAGGUGGUAGAAACACCACCAGAGGAGGCCGAGGACAACAAGCAUUCACUCCUAGAGGAAGAGGAGGCGGUUACAAUAACCGUGACAAGAGAAAUAUCAAAUGUUAUAGCUGCAAUCAAUUUGGGCACUAUAGCACUGAAUGCAGAUGGAAAGCUCCGUUGGAGACACGUGAGCAAGCCAACUAUGUAGAGAAGCAUGAUGGAGAAGCAUCUGCAUUUCUUGUCCAACAAGAACUUGGCGAGAAACAGGAGAUAUGGUAUCUAGAUACUGGAGCCAGCAAUCACAUGUGCGGCUACCGAGAGUUAUUUGGUGAUCUAGAUGAGACCAAGCAAGGUCUAGUUACUUUUGGAGAUACCACAAAGGUUCCAUUCAAAGGUAAAGGCAAGCAUCCCAGUCAAGUUGAAGAAUGGCGAUUCCAGCUACAUCGCCGAUGUGUAUUAUGUCCCAGCCAUAAAGCAGAACCUGAUCAGCUUAGGCCAACUUUUGGAGAGAGGAUAUAGUUUUUACUCGAAGAAUUGUCAUCUGACAAUUAGAGACAACAAUGGGAGAUUAAUGGCCUACGUGAAAAUGUCCAAGAAUAGGAUGUUUCCUUUGAACAUCCAGUAUGAUGCAACAAGGUGUUUGAGUGCCAUCACCAACAGUGAAGAAUGGCUUUGGCACCUGAGGCUUGGACAUCUGAAUUUCACGAGUUGAAGAUGCUAGCAAGCAAGAAGAUGGUCAAAGGUUUGCCUCACAUUGAUCAUCCAGAUGAAGUCUGUGAGAGUUGUGUCCUCAGCAAACAUCACAGAUCCAGUUUUGCCAAAGAAGUCAACUGGAGAGCAAAGAGGCCACUGGAGUUAGUACACACAGAUGUGUGUGGCCCAAUUACGCCUAUGUCGACUGGACAAAAUAGGUACUUCCUCACUUUUACUGAUGAUUUUAGUAGAAAGACGUGGAUAUACUUUCUGAAGAGGAAGUCAGAAGUAUUCAAUUGUUUUAAAGAUUUUAAAGCAAUUGUGGAGAAGCAAACUGGUUACACGAUCAGAACCGUAAGAUCUGAUCAAGGUGGAGAAUAUACAGCAAAUGACUUUGAAGCCUAUUGUACACAACAAGGCAUCAGACAUCAGACGACGCCAGCUUAUACACCACAGCUGAACGGUGUAGCAGAAAGGAAGAAUCGCACGAUUCUUGACAUGGCAAGAAGUUUGCUCAAAGCAAAGAAGCUGCCCAAGCAAUACUGGGCUGAAGCUGUAUCAUGUGCAGUGUAUCUGUUGAAUCGCUGCCCAACCAGAAGUUUGCAAGGAGUCACUCCAGAAGAAGCAUGGAGUGGUCACAAACCAAGUGUUACUCAUCUACGAGUCUUUGGUUGUGUGGCAUAUGCAAAGAUCCCAGAUGCAAGAAGGAGAAAGCUCGAUGAUAAGAGCGAGAAAUGCAUCUUUGUCGGAUAUGGUGAAAGAAGGAUGGGAUACAGGCUGUAUAAUCCCAUCACAAAGAAGGUGAUUACGAGUAGAGAUGUUAUCUUUGAAGAAGAUAAAUCUUGGGCAUGGAAUGUGAUCAAGAAGCAGUCAAAUGGAUCAAACUUGAUUUGAUCCUUGAAGGUGAAGAAGUACCAACAGUACUUUAGAAGAACCGAUUGUGCCAGCAGCUGAACCACAAAGUCCAGUGUUUAUACCAGCAGCUGAACCACAAAGUCCGGCACACAGUUUCCCUGUAUUCAACAGGAGGAACACACCAGGAGCAUCAUCAUCAACACCACCAUCAGCAUCCUCAUCAGAAGGACCAAGAAGAUGCGGAAUCUUGAAGAGUUGUACGAUACCACUCAGGUCAUGGAAGAUACAACUCUGUUUUGUUUCCAUGCAGAUAAGGACCCACCAGAAAAGAAAAAGCAAUAGGUGUCAAAAGGUCUACAAGCAGAGAAGGCAUUGAAGAGAAGUGUUCAUGCUUGGCAUGAUAUCUCUCGAUUGAGUUUAAAGGGGAGAUUUGUUGAAUUAAACUCAACCUCUAGAUGGUCAAGGAAGGCAACCACCAGCUGCCACCGACCAGCCACCAACCGACCAGCCGCCAGCCACCAGCCGCAGCCGCCAGCCGCCCCCACAGCUGCCACAGCCGCCAGCCGCCCCCACAGCUGCCACAGCCGCCAGCCGCCUUCACACUUGAAGGUUGAAUUUUCUUGUUUUGAUUUCGUGUAUAAAUAGAGUGCCCAGCUUAUGUUAUAUGUGUGGAGAGAAUAGAGAGAAACACUUGAAAGAGAAAGAGAGAGAGAGAGGGCGUGUAUUAAGCUUUUAUUUUGUGUUAUUUGUAAGCUUCGG